rnacentral:rRNA from 1 species
UGAUCUGACGAGCUUGCUCUGAUUUGAUUUUAUCUGACAAAGAGUGGCGAACGGGUGAGUAACACGUGGGUAACCUACCUCUUAGCAGGGGAUAACAUUUGGAAACAAGUGCUAAUACCGUAUAAUACCAACAACCGCAUGGUUGUUGGUUGAAAGAUGGUUCUGCUAUCACUAAGAGAUGGACCCGCGGUGCAUUAGCUAGUUGGUAAGGUAACGGCUUACCAAGGCAAUGAUGCAUAGCCGAGUUGAGAGACUGAUCGGCCACAAUGGGACUGAGACACGGCCCAUACUCCUACGGGAGGCAGCAGUAGGGAAUCUUCCACAAUGGGCGCAAGCCUGAUGGAGCAACGCCGCGUGUGUGAUGAAGGGUUUCGGCUCGUAAAACACUGUUAUAAGAGAAGAACGGCACUGAGAGUAACUGUUCAGUGUGUGACGGUAUCUUACCAGAAAGGAACGGCUAAAUACGUGCCAGCAGCCGCGGUAAUACGUAUGUUCCAAGCGUUAUCCGGAUUUAUUGGGCGUAAAGCGAGCGCAGACGGUUAUUUAAGUCUGAAGUGAAAGCCCUCAGCUCAACUGAGGAAUGGCUUUGGAAACUGGAUGACUUGAGUGCAGUAGAGGAAAGUGGAACUCCAUGUGUAGCGGUGAAAUGCGUAGAUAUAUGGAAGAACACCAGUGGCGAAGGCGGCUUUCUGGACUGUAACUGACGUUGAGGCUCGAAA